CCCCGUGAUCACGGCAACCCAGGUGUCACAGCCAGCCACCCAGACUGCUAAUUCAUCGGUGGCAACCCUUAAUCCUCCCGAACUCCCACAACCUCCUGAAGUCCCACAUUCAGCUAGCAAGAACUCCGAAUCCUCAGUGGCAACCCCUAAUCCACUUUCUAUAGGGGAUAUUACAACGGAGCAAUCCUUGACAUCAGUGGGAAAGAUUCAGAACCUUGGCUCCUCAGGCAGACAAAAUUCGAGUCAGUAUACCUCCGGCAUUGACAAUUCUCUUAAACAACAUGUAGAAAGUUUGCUCGAAGCAGCAGUAUCUAAAAAUACUGCUUCAACAUAUCAAAAGGGCAUUAACUCUUUUGAAACCUUCCGCUCUAAAUACAAGUUUGCCUUGACUUGGCCUCCACCAGUCCAUCAGAUUAUUAAUUACAUUGCAUACCUCCAUACAAACCAUGUAUCACAUGCCACAGCAAGAUGUUACUUAAGUGAUAUCAGUUACAAAAUCCAGUUAUAGGGGGGGUUGGGGGGGGGGGGGGUUGGACAACACUAAAGCCUUUAUAGUUAAGAAAAUGUUGGAAGGCUUCCGAUGGCUAAAUCCAGCAAAAGACCUAGAUCCCCAAUUUCCCUACGAAUGUUGCAUCAAAUGGUAACAAUUCUACAAAGAGUUUGUUUAAACACCUAUGAAGCCGCAAUGUUUUCAACUUUUUUUAUUUAGCAUUUUUUGCACUGCUGCGUAUUAGUGAAUUUGCUUUCACCAGUAACUUUACACCAGUACUAUCUUUCCAAGACUUCACCAUUGAUCAAGAAAAAAUUUCUUUGUUUAUCAAAGGUUCAAAAACUGAUCAAUAUCGUAGGGUUACCACAUUACAAAUUACAUACAGUCCUCAAAGUGCAUCUUUAUUUGAGCAUGCACACAAUUUUUUGUCAAUCCGACCCCAAAUACAAGGCCCAUUUUUCUGCCAUAUCAACGCUAAACCUCUCACCAAAUAUCAGUUCACAUCACUCCUACACAAAGCCGUGAAAUUCAUCGGUUUAGACACAUCUAUAUUCAAAUCACACUCAUUCAGAGUAGGUGGGGCUACU